rnacentral:rRNA from 1 species
CUUGGAGGAAUGUAUGGCAAUAGCUGGUUGCACUGAGUAAAAUUUAGUGUAAGAUCGACUCUGUCGAAUAAAAUUCUAGGUAGAGUUAUGAUAAUGACAUUAUCUAUCUAUGUGUCUUGACCAAAUUACGUGCCAGCAGUCGCGGUAAUACGUAAAAGACUAGUGUUAUUCAUCUUUAAUAGGUUUAAAGGGUACUUAGACGGUGGAUUAAGCCCCCAAAGGGAACUAAUAAACUAGAGUUUGAUGUAAGGAAGUAUUAAAGUACUGUUGGUGUAGAGAUGAAAUUCUAUCAUACCAAAUAUGGCACAGGUUUAGGCGAAAGCAUCUUCUUAUGUAAUAACUGACGUUGAAGGACGAAGGA